CCUACGGGGGGCAGCAGUAGGGAAUAUUGCUCAAUGGGGGAAACCCUGAAGCAGCAACGCCGCGUGGAGGAUGAAGGUUUUCGGAUUGUUAACCCCUUUUGUUAGAGAAGAAAAUGACGGUACCUAACGAAUAAGCACCGGCUAACUCCGUGCCAGCAGCCGCGGUAAUACGGAGGGAGCAAGCGUUACUCGGAAUCACCGGGCGUAAAGAGGGCGUAGGCGGGAUAGCAAGUCAGAGGUGAAAGCCUAGGGCUUAACCAUAGAACUGCAUUUGAAACUGGUAUUCUAGAGUAUGGGAGAGGUAGGUGGAAUGCGUGGUGUAGCGGUGAAAUCCGUAGAGAUCAAGAGGAAUACUCAUUGCGAAGGCGACCUGCUAGAACAUAACUGACGCUGAUGCGCGAAAGCGUGGGGAGCGAACAGGAUUAGAUACCCGAGUAGUC
rnacentral:rRNA from 1 species